rnacentral:rRNA from 1 species
CGUGUAGGCGGAAAGGUUAGUCGGUCGUGAAAUCCCUCGGCUCAACCGAGGAAUUGCGUUCGAUACUGCCUUUCUUGAGUGUGGGAGAGGAGAGUGGAACUCCUGGUGGAGCGGUGAAAUGCGUAGAUAUCAGGAGGAACGCCGGCGGCGAAAGCGGCUCUCUGGCCCACUACUGACGCUGAGGCGCGAAAGCCAGGGUAGCGAACG